rnacentral:rRNA from 1 species
AUUGAACGCUGGCGGCAGGCCUAACACAUGCAAGUCGAGCGGGGUUUUCGGACCUAGCGGCGGACGGGUGAGUAAUACGUAGGAAGCUGCCCGAUAGAGGGGGAUACCAGUUGGAAACGACUGUUAAUACCGCAUAAUGUCUACGGACCAAAGUGUGGGACCUUCGGGCCACAUGCUAUCGGAUGCGCCUACGUGGGAUUAGCUAGUUGGUGAGGUAAUGGCUCACCAAGGCGACGAUCUCUAGCUGGUUUGAGAGGAUGAUCAGCCACACUGGAACUGAGACACGGUCCAGACUCCUACGGGAGGCAGCAGUGGGGAAUAUUGGACAAUGGGCGCAAGCCUGAUCCAGCCAUGCCGCGUGUGUGAAGAAGGCCUUCGGGUUGUAAAGCACUUUCAGCGAGGAGGAAGGGGUGUGUGUUAAUAGUACACACCUUUGACGUUACUCGCGGAAGAAGCACCGGCUAACUCUGUGCCAGCCGCCGCCGUAAUAC